UACGAAGGGGGGUAGCGUUGUUCGGAAUUACUGGGCGUAAAGCGCGCGCAGGCGGCUAUCCAAGUCAGUGGUGAAAGCCCGGAGCUCAACUCCGGAACUGCCAUUGAAACUGUUUAGCUGGAGUAUGAGAGAGGUGAGUGGAAUUCCCAGUGUAGAGGUGAAAUUCGUAGAUAUUGGGAAGAACACCGGUGGCGAAGGCGGCUCACUGGCUCAUUACUGACGCUCAUGCGCGACAGCGUGGGGAUCAAACAGG
rnacentral:rRNA from 1 species